rnacentral:rRNA from 1 species
AUGCAAGUCGAGCGGGGAAAGUUGCUUCGGUAACUGACCUAGCGGCGGACGGGUGAGUAAUGCUUAGGAAUCUGCCUAUUAGUGGGGGACAACAUCUCGAAAGGGAUGCUAAUACCGCAUACGUCCUACGGGAGAAAGCAGGGGAUCUUCGGACCUUGCGCUAAUAGAUGAGCCUAAGUCGGAUUAGCUAGUUGGUGGGGUAAAGGCCUACCAAGGCGACGAUCUGUAGCGGGUCUGAGAGGAUGAUCCGCCACACUGGGACUGAGACACGGCCCAGACUCCUACGGGAGGCAGCAGUGGGGAAUAUUGGACAAUGGGGGGAACCCUGAUCCAGCCAUGCCGCGUGUGUGAAGAAGGCCUUUUGGUUGUAAAGCACUUUAAGCGAGGAGGAGGAGCUCUUGGUUAAUAC